CCUACGGGAGGCAGCAGUGAGGAAUAUUGGUCAAUGGACGAGAGUCUGAACCAGCCAAGUAGCGUGAAGGAUGACUGCCCUAUGGGUUGUAAACUUCGUUUAUAAAGGAAUAAAACGAGGCACGUGUGCCUUUUUGCAUGUACUUUAUGAAUAAGGAUCGGCUAACUCCGUGCCAGCAGCCGCGGAAUACGGAGGAUACGAGCGUUAUCCGGAUUGAUUGGGUUUAACGGGAGCGUAGAUGGGUUGUUAAGUCAGUUGUGAAAGUUUGCGGCUCAACCAUAAAAUUGCAAUUGAUACUGGCAGUCUUGAGUACAGUUGAGGUAGGCGGAAUUCGUGGUGUAGCGGUGAAAUGCUUAGAUAUCACGAAGAACCCCGAUUGCGAAGGCAGCUUACUAAGCUUUGACUGACAUUGAGGCUCGAAAGUGUGGGUAUCAAACAGGAUUAGAUACCCGGGUAGUC
rnacentral:rRNA from 1 species